rnacentral:rRNA from 1 species
AUGUUUCAUUCAAAUUUCUGCCCUAUCAACUUUCGACGGUGGGUAGUGGCCUACCGUGGUGGUAACGGGUAACGGAGGAUUAGGGUUCGAUUCCGGAGAGGGAGCCUGAGAAACGGCUACCACAUCCAAGGAAGGCAGCAGGCGCGCAAAUUACCCAAAUCCCAACUCGGGGAGGUAGUGACAAGAAAUAACGAUGCUCCGGCCAUCGGUCGGGUAAUCGGAAUGAGGACAAUUUAAAUCCCUUAUCGAGGAUCAAUUGGAGGGCAAGUCUGGUGCCAGCAGCCGCGGUAAUUCCAGCUCCAAUAGCGUAUAUUUAAGUUGCUGCGGUUAAAAAGCUCGUAGUCGGAUUUCGGGUGGUGCCUACCGGUCCGCCUUUGGUGUGUACUGGUAGGCGCCACCUUUCUGCCGAGGACGGGUUCCUGGGCUUAACUGUCUGGGGCCCGGAGUCGGCGACGUCACUUUGAGUAAAUUAGGGUGUUUAAAGCAGGCUUAUGCUCUGUAUACACUAGCAUGGGAUGACACGAUAGGACUUCGGUCUAUCUUGUCGGUCUGUAGAUCGGAGUAAUGAUUAAGAGGGACAGUCGGGGGCAUUCGUAUUUCGUAGUCAGAGGUGAAAUUCUUGGAUUUACGGAAGACGAACUUCUGCGAAAGCAUUUGCCAAGGAUGUUUUCAUUGAUCAAGAACGAAAGUCGGGGGCUCGAAGACGAUUAGAUACCGUCGUAGUCUCGACCAUAAACGAUGCC